CUGUGUUCAGAACCCGUGCCGUGGCGCCCUUGUGUUAUAUCUCUCGGUUCGAGGUUGUCUCCGGGUUGGGGUCAGUCGGGCUAUCUGUAUGUCUUCGUGAGGUUGUGAGUGUGGGGGAUGUGUUCUUGUGCGUGUGCCGCUGGUGGUGUUGGUUUAGUAGUUUGGGGGCGAUGGCUUAUGGCCCGAUGGGUGGGGGACUCGUUUGGCGGGCUUCUAUAGGUAGUGAUAAACACAAAAAGAAU